rnacentral:rRNA from 1 species
AUUGAACGCUGGCGGCAGGCCUAAUACAUGCAAGUCGAGCGGAGCGGCGGACGGGUGAGUAAUACAUAGAAAUCUGCCUGGUAGUGGGGGAUAACGUACGGAAACGGGCGCUUAUACCGCAUACUAUCAGAUGAGCCUAGGUUGGAUGAGCUGGUUGGUGGGGUAAAGGCCUACCAAGGCGACGAUCCGUACCUGGCCUGAGAGGAGGAUCAGUCACACUGGAACUGAGACACGGCCCAGACUCCUACGGGAGGCAGCAGUGGGGAAUAUUGGACAAUGGGCGAAAGCCUGAUCGAGCCAUGACGCGUGUGUGAAGAAGGUCUUCGGAUUGUAAAGCACUUUGAGUUGGGAGGCGGUACCAACAGAAUAAGCACCGGCUAACUACGUGCCAGCAGCCGCGGUAAUAC